rnacentral:rRNA from 1 species
ACACAUGCAGUCGAGGGGUAACAGAGAAAAGCUUGCUUUUUUGCUGACGACCGGCGCACGGGUGCGUAACGCGUAUGCAAUCUACCUUUUGCUGAGGGAUAGCCCAGAGAAAUUUGGAUUAAUACCUCAUAGUAUGGUGACUUGGCAUCAAGAUAUCAUUAAAGGUUACGGCAAAAGAUGAGCAUGCGUUCUAUUAGUUAGUUGGUGUGGUAACGGCACACCAAGGCAGCGAUAGAUAGGGGUCCUGAGAGGGAGAUCCCCCACACUGGUACUGAGACACGGACCAGACUCCUACGGGAGGCAGCAGUGAGGAAUAUUGGACAAUGGAGGCAACUCUGAUCCAGCCAUGCCGCGUGCAGGAAGACUGCCCUAUGGGUUGUAAACUGCUUUUAUACAGGAAGAAACACCUCUACGUGUAGAGGCUUGACGGUACUGUAAGAAUAAGGAUCGGCUAACUCCGUGCCAGCAGCCGCGGUAAUACGGAGGAUCCAAGCGUUAUCCGGAAUCAUUGGGUUUAAAGGGUCCGUAGGUGGAUAAUUAAGUCAGAGGUGAAAUCCUGCAGCUUAACUGUAGAAUUGCCUUUGAUACUGGUUGUCUUGAGUUAUUAUGAAGUAGUUAGAAUAUGUAGUGUAGCGGUGAAAUGCAUAGAUAUUACAUAGAAUACCAAUUGCGAAGGCAGAUUACUAAUAAUAUACUGACACUGAUGGACGAAAGCGUGGGGAGCGAACAGGA